rnacentral:rRNA from 1 species
AUGGCUGUCGUCAGCUCGUGUCGUGAGAUGUUGGGUUAAGUCCCGCAACGAGCGCAACCCUUGUCAUUAGUUGCCAUCAUUUGGUUGGGCACUCUAAUGAGACUGCCGGUGGACAAACCGGAGGAAGGUGGGGAUGACGUCAAGUCCUCAUGGCCCUUAUGGGUAGAGCUUCACACGUCAUACAAUGGUCGGUACAGAGGGUUGCCAACCCGCGAGGGGGAGCUAAUCCCACAAAGCCGAUCGUAGUCCGGAUCGCAGUCUGCAACUCGACUGCGUGAAGUCGGAAUCGCUAGUAAUCGUGGAUCAGCAUGUCACGGUGAAUACGUUCCCGGGUCUU